ACUAAAUAGCUCCCUCCCGUUCGUCCAUCAAACAAAUGUAGAGAUUGGGACUCAAAUGUUCCAUCCCCAUUUUCUUCCUUGUGAUUGUAAAUUUAGCCGUUUCUCUUUCCUUUUUCUUCUAUUUCUCCAUUUGGAUCUAUUUGUUUUUUCUAUUUCUUAAUUUUUCUUCUCGGAAUUUCUCAUAACUUCCUAGAUUUGAUGCUUGCAUUUGGAGGUAAUUAGUUCUCUUCUUACCUUUUUCAUCUUCCUAUUUUUCUGCUUCUCUGAAGUCUGAUGUACUUGGGUUUCUUCUAUAUUAGUUAUGUUGCCUUUUCGCACUACCGGUAAGUGUUUCAUGGGUUUUUUCUUCUUUUAAUUUAUUAUAUUACUUAUAUUUUAGUUUUACGUUCUCUAAUUUUCUUCCUUUCAUCAUUCUCUUCUUUUACCUUUGCCUCUUCCACCAUGGACCUGUUGUUGCUUUGCUUCCAUUAGCUCUUAUUUGGUGUGCUUAAUAGUUGGAUGUAACAGCGCUUGGGUAGCAUACUAUACAGAUGGAGCUUGAACGGUGGAAGCGCCAGAUGAUGCUCUAUUGUUUAAUGGAAAUCAUUACAUGCAUAUGAAUAAAACUAGGUGCUUCGAGAAUGGUGAAGGGUCAUUUACAGAUGCUCAGAAUGUUUUUGAUUUAUUUACAUGAUGUCUCAUAUCUAUUUUAGUGAUAGUUUGAUUGAUGGUAUUGGUUGGAAUGUUGUAAAAGGGUACACAGACGAUCAUAGUAAAAGGGGUCACAGGUGAUGUUAAAUUAAUUUUGGAGAAAGAAAUAUCAAAGGAUUAUACUGAUCAGUCUAUAAAGUGUUUGAUAAAAUGUCCCUUAAGAAAAUUAUAUUAUCCGUUGCAUUUUUGUUCUUCUGAACAUUCUUAUAAGUCUUAUUGAAAUUCUGUGAUGUUGCUUAUAUUCUACAGUUGAUUUACAUGGAGAUGGAGACUCAAUCUUUUGAACUGUAAAUGCAAGCAUAGUUUAGAUCAUUGACGGCCUCUUUGAAUCUAUUUUUUCGCAGCUCUAUUGGGGAUUCCAUUUUUAGGUGGGUAAUUCCCAAAUUGGGAAUAAAGAUGGCACUUCAAAGGUCUUGGCUCUAGGAUAUGUAAUAUAUCCCUUCUCAAUUGCACGUACCUUGCACCUUUUGCAAUAAAGCUUGAGAGACUCUUUUGUAUCUUAAAGGUUACUGCUCAAGUUGAUAUUGAAAUCAAAUCAAGGGAAUGAGGUAAUUUAUGCAAGGACUACUCUUUCAGUCCAUGAUUUUUGGUAGUCAUGACCUAUUUGUAAUGUUGAACUUUGAUAUCGUCAAAGUUUGCCAGGUCAAAGUUGAGCCAAAUUUUAUUUGGAGUUUCAAAUGUAAAAAAGAAAGAGAGGAAAUCUUAAUCUGAAAUGGUAUCUUCCAUGUCUCUUUGGGUGUAGUUUAUGAUGGUAUCUUCAUAUGCUUAUGAAUGUAUAUUUACUUUACAGGGCACUGGUUAUUUAAUAAAAAUGUACACUUUAAAUACACACUUUUUCCAUAGAGCCUCUUAUCAUUUGAAUUACUUCUAAUGUGUAAUCUGAUAUUAACCUGUGGCCUUCCAAUAUUUUGUUCAGACUUUUCACUUUGGCUCAAAAGUAAAUUCUCAAGAUAUUUGUUGACUUUUUUGUCUUUUCUUUAUCGUUUAUAGCACAGUGACGACCACUACAGGCAUGCUUAUGUAACAAAAUUAUAUGGGCCGUCUGAUGUUAAAUAAUUAUAAUAGAGACAACUCUCUCUUUCUCCGGUAUGUAUAAAGAGAUCAGUCACUUGCUAUCUUUCAUCGCAAGCGGUCUGUGAGUGGUUAUAGAGCAUGUAAUAUUUUGUAUUCUUUCUAUCCUCUUGAGGAGUUACUCUAUUGCUUUGUUCCACUGGAUCUUUCUGCACUCCUCUCUUUGGUGACUUUGCAAGUCAUUUCUUUCUUGUGGUACUCUUGGCUUAGAAAUUAUUCUUUCUACCGUAAUUUAUUUAUUGUCAUAAAUACACAAGUUUUUUAUGUGAUAUUUUAACUCUAAUCGUGACCAUACGAUCGACAGUGUAUAAAAAGGGCCGAACAAAGAAGAUCCGCUGAACUUUUGGGUACUCCUGCAAGAAUAAACUAGAUGCAAGGCAAAAGUUGAGUUGAAGUACUAGAUGUGAGUGAUGUCUCUUUCUUCUACCAAAUCACCUGGCGAGCAGAUGUAGAAAGCGAGUGGAAGAACAUUAGCGUAUGAUAUCUCUUGUCAUUUUGAAACAUGAAUGGUUAACUAAGAUUUUGUAAAAUCUUAUCGCCCUGUGAUAAAUAUUAUAUGGAGUCAUGGAGACAAAAGUGCAACAAGCAGUAGCAGUAUCCAUGUAUGAUGACCUUGAAACACUAACUAGGAAGUUUCAAUAGGGUACAUUACUCAAGGCUUUAAAUAGUGUGCUCUUUCUCCAAAUUCUUUCGGGGCACCUGUACUGGUCAAUUGCUAAACGUUACUUCAAAAAGUUCUUGACUCAGCUUUCUUAUGGUAUUCUUAGUUUCCUCAAACCUUUUAUGUUCCCCUCAGCUGUAGUGUCGUUUCCGAGUCAAUAUGUGUUUCAUGCUAAGUUUGAGACCUUAGAGGUGGUUUGGAUUGGUUUUAAGCUGGUCAAAUUAACUUUAAGUUCUUUUUAGCUUUUUUUUGGGUAUUUGGCAAAGCUAUAAAGUGCUUAAAACAAGUUAAAAAUUGCUUAAAACAAGCCAAAAGCAAUAAGUCGGGCAACCCCAAUUUAUUACCUUUUGGCUUAAAAGCUAUUUCUCCUGAAAAGCCACUUUUUUUAGCCAAUCCAAAUAGGCUCUUAUAAUCGAUGGCAUUUGCUUGCUGCUGCUCAGUUUGAGAAUAUGGUUAUUCAGUUUGGUAACUCAAAAGAUUUGCUAUGGCAAUAAUUUUUGCCAUAGGUAUAAUGUUUUGCUAGAGAUUUUAUUUCAGCAAAGGUGGUGAUGUUAAGUUUGUAUUUAUUUGGCCGGCAUAAGAUGUGUCUGGCAAAGUGAGAGAAGUUUCUUCUCAUUACUGUUGGCAUUUUUCUGUGCCUUUUUCUAAUUCAAGGACGAAGACGGAUAACAUCUAACCUCUGACUUGAAUGACUGUAAGUUCGGUUGCACUUUUCUUGCAUGUACAACCCUAUAAAUAUUUUGAAGUUUCAAAAAUUUAAAUCAAGAAAUAGAAAACCGGUAAAGAAACACCUCAAAUACUCAUUCCACUUCUACAAGUGUGCUAUGAUUUGUUUCCUAAUGAUAUGCUACUGUUAAUUACAUGAGUUUCUCUGAAAGUUUAUUAAUGAGGUGUCUAACUUCUCUUCCAUUUUCUUCAUGCAGGGAGUUGAGUGGAACAAUUAUCUAGCUCUAAGGAAUUCGAUCUACGUAGACCAAUUGUUACUACAACUUUGUAAUUUCAAACUCCAGAUUUUUAAAGUGUAUAAUGAGACCCUUUACAAUGAUUAAUGAAUUCUAUUGCUCGCCUACUA